CAAAGUGUAGCUUAAACAAAGMWCCUGGCUUACACCCAGAAGAUUUCAUGCAUAAUGACCACUUUGA
rnacentral:tRNA from 1 species